rnacentral:pre_miRNA from 13 species
CAAUCUAUUUAGGGCAGAUUCUUAUUUAGUUAUGGCAGACUCAAACCUGAAUGCUCAGAAUCACUUGUUAUUACAAGCUCGAAUAUAUCAUUGACAUUGAAAAACAGUGGACAACUACUGUGUGAAUAAUAACUUUUUGAAAUUUUAA